rnacentral:rRNA from 1 species
CGCCCUUAGAGUUUGAUCAUGGCUCAGAACGAACGCUGGCGGCAGGCUUAACACAUGCAAGUCGAGCGCACUCUUCGGAGUGAGCGGCAGACGGGUGAGUAACGCGUGGGAAUCUACCUAUCUCUACGGAAUAACACAGAGAAAUUUGUGCUAAUACCGUAUACGUCCUUAGGGAGAAAGAUUUAUCGGAGAUGGAUGAGCCCGCGUUGGAUUAGCUAGUUGGUGGGGUAAAGGCUCACCAAGGCGACGAUCCAUAGCUGGUCUGAGAGGAUGACCAGCCACACUGGGACUGAGACACGGCCCAGACUCCUACGGGAGGCAGCAGUGGGGAAUAUUGGACAAUGGGCGAAAGCCUGAUCCAGCCAUGCCGCGUGAGUGAUGAAGGCCUUAGGGUUGUAAAGCUCUUUCACCGGUGAAGAUAAUGACGGUAACCGGAGAAGAAGCCCCGGCUAACUUCGUGCCAGCAGCCGCGGUAAUACGAAGGGGGCUAGCGUUGUUCGGAUUUACUGGGCGUAAAGCGCACGUAGGCGGAUAUUUAAGUCAGAGGUGAAAUCCCAGGGCUCAACCCUGGAACUGCCUUUGAUACUGGGUAUCUUGAGUAUGGAAGAGGUGAGUGGAAUUCCGAGUGUAGAGGUGAAAUUCGUAGAUAUUCGGAGGAACACCAGUGGCGAAGGCGGCUCACUGGUCCAUUACUGACGCUGAGUUGC